UAAAAGAGGAGAGAGGGGAGCGGAUGCAGAACGUCAGGGAGAGAGAGAGAGAGAGAGAGAGAGAGAGAGAGAGAGAGAGAGAGAGAGAGAGAGGGAGAGUUUGAGAGAGAAAAGAAAUUCGUGAAGAGGGCUCGCGAAGACGAUAACCUCUGGGCUGAGAGCAGGGUGAACGAGCGCUGCGGUAGCGAGCCGUAAGAAAGAUGAGCAGAGCAUUCCUUCCGCCGGCCUUUAUAGGAGUAAGGGAGUGUAGUGAGAUAGAUAGACGUCCAAUCAGCUAGUUGCUCGGCCUUAGUCUUGUGCGGAUCUCAUAAUUCAAUCAACCCCUUCGAUCCAAUCAAUCGAUCGAUCAGGAGGCUAGAUCCCAUGGAGGCUUUUCUGUCUUAAAUUGCCAUCCUCUGUGAAUCUCAUCUGCUGGGUCUUUUCCUUCUUAAAUUUGCAAAUUGGUUCUUGUCAUUUAUUUCAGCAUCUCGAUCUAACGUUUGUUUCUUUCCAUGCUCUGUUCAGAUUGCUUGAUGUCAAGCAAGGACAGAAUAAAGAAGAGAAGACACGGACACUGAUCUCCAGAAAUUCAUUAAGAGGUACCGCUAAACUGGAGAGAACAUUUCCGCUGAGAAAUUAUAACCGUUUGAAGCGUCCAAAACUCGCGAAGAAAUUAAAAGAGGGAGAGAGAGAGAGAGAGAGGGAGGGCUCGCGAAGACGAUAACCUCUGGGCUGAGAGCAGGGUGAACGAGCGCUGCGGUAGCCGUAAGAAAGAUGAGCAGAGCAUUCCUUCGGUCGGCCUUUUAUAGGAGUAAGGGAGUGUAGUGAGAUAGAUAGACGUCCAAUCAGCUAGUUGCUCGGCCUUAGUCUUGUGCGGAUCUCAUAACUCAAUCAACCCCUUCGAUCCAAUCAAUCGAUCGAUCAAGAGGCUAGAUCCCAUGGAGGCUUUUCUGUCUUAAAUUGCCAUCCUCUGUGAAUCUCAUCUGCUGGAUUGCUUGAUGUCAAACAAGGACAGAAUAAAGAAGGGAAGACAGUACUCUAUAUGGUAUUUGAGUACAUGGACACUGAUCUCCAUAAAUUCAUUAAGAGAUCAUCGUGGGAGAAAAUUGGAGAAAACUGAAGCUUCCAUUAAAAUGUGGGAGUUGAAAUAAAAAGGAACACUUUCUACAAACUAUUUGACGUCAUACUGUGAGUUUGUGCAACAAUAUCAUCGUGGGAGAAAAUUGGAGAAAACUGAAGCUUCCAUUAAAAUGUGGGAGUUGAAAUAAAAAGGAACACUUUCUACAAACUAUUUGACGUCAUACUGGAGAUCAAAUAGGCAUAAAUGGUGCUUAUGUUGGAGCGGGUGGAACCUAUUGAUGUACAGGAGUUGAAAUUAGAAGGAAAGCAUUUUAAGUUUUAGUGAAUUGCUCAUAUUGGGUCCUUCUUUUUGCCCUAUAUGCUUCCUUUUUGAAAUUUUCAUUUCUUUUAGGUUUAAAAUUUACAUCGUCAUAUUAACUCAAGAUGUAUUCUUUGUUGACUAAUUAGGUGGUGCCAAAUGAUCGAGGGCGGUGCAUACAUACAUACGUAUAUUCGUAAUUACACACACAUGGAUACAUACAUAAUACAUAAAGAGAGCACUUGGGCAUUGAUUUCAAGAAAUUGAUUAAGAACUAUCGCUAAAACAGUCAAGGCAUGAACAAUUUCUGAUGUUACGUUUAUGUUUUCAUAACUUUCAAAAUUUAAAAUUGAUACCAAGAGUUUUAACGAAUAUGUUCCAGAGGUGUUGCUCUUUAAAUGAAGAGGUGUUGCUUUUGCCAUACGCAUAAAUCAGACACAGAACUUGUUUUCUAUCUUGCACUUUUUCUUCGUCGCAGGGACCUUAAGCUUUACUUCUUUAUGGAUCGACAGACAAUAUCGGUUAUGAUAGUAGAUCUGAGGUUAGCUCGGGUAUUUGCUCUUUAAAUGAAGAAAUACACUCUUGAGGUAAAGUUUAUUUUUUUGUUAACUGUCUUACUGUAUGCAAAAUAUAACAUUUUCAAAUGUUGGUCAACUCGGGGUAUUUUUAUAGAUUUUUGCUUUAUGGUACAAGACACCCGAAAUCCUUUUAGGUGUUAUCUGUUAGUUCAAUUGUAGUAUAUAUGUGAUUUGUUAGUUGUAUAUUUGGUGCACAUCAUUCCUUAGUUUAUUUUUUAACCCUUUUGCAUUUGUAUGUUUGAUUAAUUGUUCUUUCUAAUUCUUAAUUUUAGUAGCGUUUGUCACUAACCAAACACUUUUACUGGAGAUUUUGAAAUCCAACAACUCUUACAUAUUUGAAGGUAACACGGCUAGUUUGAUAACGAAAAGAAAAGAAAGGCAAUUCAUUCUGGAAAGUAAAAGAGAAAGAAAGACUUUGAAAGGGAGAUCAAAUAGGCAUAAAUGGUGCUUAUGUUGGAGCGGGUGGAACCUAUUGAUGUACAGGAGUUGAAAUUAGAAGGAAAGCAUUUUAAGUUUUAGUGAAUUGCUCAUAUUGGGUCCUUCUUUUUGCCCUAUAUGCUUCCUUUUUGAAAUUUUCAUUUCUUUUAGGUUUAAAAUUUACAUCGUCAUAUUAACUCAAGAUGUAUUCUUUGUUGACUAAUUAGGUGGUGCCAAAUGAUCGAGGGCGGUGCAUACAUACAUACGUAUAUUCGUAAUUACACACACAUGGAUACAUACAUAAUACAUAAAGAGAGCACUUGGGCAUUGAUUUCAAGAAAUUGAUUAAGAACUAUCGCUAAAACAGUCAAGGCAUGAACAAUUUCUGAUGUUACGUUUAUGUUUUCAUAACUUUCAAAAUUUAAAAUUGAUACCAAGAGUUUUAACGAAUAUGUUCCAGAGGUGUUGCUCUUUAAAUGAAGAGGUGUUGCUUUUGCCAUACGCAUAAAUCAGACACAGAACUUGUUUUCUAUCUUGCACUUUUUCUUCGUCGCAGGGACCUUAAGCUUUACUUCUUUAUGGAUCGACAGACAAUAUCGGUUAUGAUAGUAGAUCUGAGGUUAGCUCGGGUAUUUGCUCUUUAAAUGAAGAAAUACACUCUUGAGGUAAAGUUUAUUUUUUUGUUAACUGUCUUACUGUAUGCAAAAUAUAACAUUUUCAAAUGUUGGUCAACUCGGGGUAUUUUUAUAGAUUUUUGCUUUAUGGUACAAGACACCCGAAAUCCUUUUAGGUGUUAUCUGUUAGUUCAAUUGUAGUAUAUAUGUGAUUUGUUAGUUGUA